CAGAGGGAGGCUGGAGCAGGAACAUGGGGACAGGAGCAUCUGGGGUAUUUCCAGCACUGGAAAGGAAAUGCUCUGUUGAAAAAGGUGACAAUAAUUGAACUACAUGUGAAAGUGACCGUAAACCACUCAGAUGUAUCCCAUGGAAAAGAAACCAACAGCAUCCACAUCUCUACCUCCCAUUAGCUGUAUCCCCGAAGCAGCCGAACCACCCACCUGAGGGGAAGGGUGACAGAGAGGACGCAGAAUGGAGGAAACAGCAGUCUUAAAUCCUGGUAAUCCUGCCGUUGUUCUCUGACACUUUUAAAGCCUUGGAUGCAUCAUUAUGGGCUGUGUGUUGGGCAAGGAGAUCUUGCAGCAACAGUACCACUCAGGACACAAUUGGGAAAUUCUCUUCCGACGUUUCUGCACCUAGAAGUUUCUGCCAAGUGGUCACUGUGUUCAGAUCUUCAGGAAUUCUAUGGCAAUGCCUAAUACAUGGUGGGCCCUCAAUCAACUUUGGAUUAAUCUGAAAAAGAUAUAAUGAAUAAAUAAAUAAAUGACUGGAGGAAGAAUCUGAGUUUCCUGUAGCCCACUUCUGUUUGAGAUUCUGUUUGUUCUGUGUGAGAAUUAUGAUUUUAUGUAUGAGAAUUAUGAUUAUCAUCCAGUGAGAUACCUGGGCCAUUUUUCUGUAGUUUGAAAAACAGAUGGACUUAAAAAUAUUUUACUGCAGCAGUGGAAGCAUCAUACUUCCAAUUGGCAGUUACUUAACCCUCCACUUAGGGCAAAUCAAAGUUGGAAUAGAAGAUAUUUAGUCAUGGAAGGGAAAGAAUGUAGGAUAUUUGAGUAUGGAAGGGAAAGUAGUAACUUCCACAAACUGAGACAUAGAGAACAAAACGAGCCAUUGCCCACACACUCUGCCUCUCA
rnacentral:lncRNA from 1 species